GAUGAACGCUGGCGGCGUGCCUAAUACAUGCAAGUCGAGCGAACAGAUAAGGAGCUUGCUCCUUUGAAGUUAGCGGCGGACGGGUGAGUAACACGUGGGUAACCUACCUAUAAGACUGGGAUAACUUCGGGAAGCCGGAGCUAAUACCGGAUAACAUUUAGAACCGCAUGGUUCUAAAGUGAAAGAUGGUUUUGCUAUCACUUAUAGAUGGACCCGCGCCGUAUUAGCUAGUUGGUAAGGUAACGGCUUACCAAGGCGACGAUACGUAGCCGACCUGAGAGGGUGAUCGGCCACACUGGAACUGAGACACGGUCCAGACUCCUACGGGAGGCAGCAGUAGGGAAUCUUCCGCAAUGGGCGAAAGCCUGACGGAGCAACGCCGCGUGAGUGAUGAAGGGUUUCGGCUCGUAAAACUCUGUUAUUAGGGAAGAACAAAUGUGUAAGUAACUGUGCACAUCUUGACGGUACCUAAUCAGAAAGCCACGGCUAACUACGUG
rnacentral:rRNA from 1 species